GGCGGCGUAGCCAAGUGGUCUAAGGCGGAGGUCUGCAAAACCUCUAUUCGGCGGUUCGAAUCCGCCCGUCGCCUCCA
rnacentral:tRNA from 3 species